ensembl:misc_RNA
UAAACCCGGUGCCGCGCCCCCAGAUCUGCAUCGGAAUGCAGAAAAGAUCUGUUUAAAAAAAAAAAAGUUUUGAAUUCCUCAAUGAUUUUUCUUCUGGAAAGACAGCUUAGGAUAAUUAUUUCAGCUUUAUUGAGGGCAGAUUAGUUGAAGUCUGGGCGCUGCGUUUCAAUACGCGUUGUACACGGGCCGACAAUGUGG